GGGCGCACGGUGGAUGCCUUGACACUAGGAGUCGAUGAAGGACGGGACUAACGCCGAUAUGCUUCGGGGAGCUGUAAGUAAGCUUUGAUCCGAAGAUUUCCGAAUGGGGAAACCCACCAUACGUAAUGGUAUGGUAUCCUUAUCUGAAUACAUAGGGUAAGGAAGACAGACCCAGGGAACUGAAACAUCUAAGUACCUGGAGGAAGAGAAAGCAAAUGCGAUUUCCUGAGUAGCGGCGAGCGAAACGGAACAUAGCCCAAACCAAGAGGCUUGCCUCUUGGGGUUGUAGGACAUUCUAUACGGAGUUACAAAGGAACGAGGUAGACGAAGCGACCUGGAAAGGUCCGUCGUAGAGGGUAACAACCCCGUAGUCGAAACUUCGUUCUCUCUUGAAUGUAUCCUGAGUACGGCGGAACACGUGAAAUUCCGUCGGAAUCUGGGAGGACCAUCUCCCAAGGCUAAAUACUCCCUAGUGAUCGAUAGUGAACCAGUACCGUGAGGGAAAGGUGAAAAGCACCCCGGAAGGGGAGUGAAAGAGAUCCUGAAACCGUGUGCCUACAAAUAGUCAGAGCCCGUUAACGGGUGAUGGCGUGCCUUUUGUAGAAUGAACCGGCGAGUUACGAUCCCGUGCGAGGUUAAGCUGAAGAGGUGGAGCCGCAGCGAAAGCGAGUCUGAAUAGGGCGUUUAGUACGUGGUCGUAGACCCGAAACCAGGUGAUCUACCCAUGUCCAGGGUGAAGUUCAGGUAACACUGAAUGGAGGCCCGAACCCACGCACGUUGAAAAGUGCGGGGAUGAGGUGUGGGUAGCGGAGAAAUUCCAAUCGAACCUGGAGAUAGCUGGUUCUCCCCGAAAUAGCUUUAGGGCUAGCCUUAAGUGUAAGAGUCUUGGAGGUAGAGCACUGAUUGGACUAGGGGUCCUCAUCGGAUUACCGAAUUCAGUCAAACUCCGAAUGCCAAUGACUUAUCCUUAGGAGUCAGACUGCGAGUGAUAAGAUCCGUAGUCAAAAGGGAAACAGCCCAGACCGCCAGCUAAGGUCCCAAAGUGUGUAUUAAGUGGAAAAGGAUGUGGAGUUGCUUAGACAACUAGGAUGUUGGCUUAGAAGCAGCCACCAUUUAAAGAGUGCGUAAUAGCUCACUAGUCGAGUGACUCUGCGCCGAAAAUGUACCGGGGCUAAAUACACCACCGAAGCUGCGGAUUGAUACCAAUGGUAUCAGUGGUAGGGGAGCGUUCUAAGGACAGUGAAGUCAGACCGGAAGGACUGGUGGAGUGCUUAGAAGUGAGAAUGCCGGUAUGAGUAGCGAAAGACGGGUGAGAAUCCCGUCCACCGAAUGCCUAAGGUUUCCUGAGGAAGGCUCGUCCGCUCAGGGUUAGUCAGGACCUAAGCCGAGGCCGACAGGCGUAGGCGAUGGACAACAGGUUGAUAUUCCUGUACCACCUCUUUAUCGUUUGAGCAAUGGAGGGACGCAGAAGGAUAGAAGAAGCGUGCGAUUGGUUGUGCACGUCCAAGCAGUUAGGCUGAUAAGUAGGCAAAUCCGCUUAUCGUGAAGGCUGAGCUGUGAUGGGGAAGCUCCUUAUGGAGCGAAGUCUUUGAUUCCCCGCUGCCAAGAAAAGCUUCUAGCGAGAUAAAAGGUGCCUGUACCGCAAACCGACACAGGUAGGCGAGGAGAGAAUCCUAAGGUGUGCGAGAGAACUCUGGUUAAGGAACUCGGCAAAAUGACCCCGUAACUUCGGGAGAAGGGGUGCUUUCUUAACGGAAAGCCGCAGUGAAUAGGCCCAAGCGACUGUUUAGCAAAAACACAGCUCUCUGCGAAGCCGUAAGGCGAAGUAUAGGGGGUGACACCUGCCCGGUGCUGGAAGGUUAAGGAGAGGGGUUAGCGUAAGCGAAGCUCUGAACUGAAGCCCCAGUAAACGGCGGCCGUAACUAUAACGGUCCUAAGGUAGCGAAAUUCCUUGUCGGGUAAGUUCCGACCCGCACGAAAGGUGUAACGAUUUGGGCACUGUCUCAACCAGAGACUCGGUGAAAUUAUAGUACCUGUGAAGAUGCAGGUUACCCGCGACAGGACGGAAAGACCCCGUGGAGCUUUACUGUAGCCUGAUAUUGAAUUUUGGUACAGUUUGUACAGGAUAGGCGGGAGCCUUUGAAACCGGAGCGCUAGCUUCGGUGGAGGCGCUGGUGGGAUACCGCCCUGACUGUAUUGAAAUUCUAACCUACGGGUCUUAUCGACCCGGGAGACAGUGUCAGGUGGGCAGUUUGACUGGGGCGGUCGCCUCCUAAAGUGUAACGGAGGCGCCCAAAGGUUCCCUCAGAAUGGUUGGAAAUCAUUCGUAGAGUGCAAAGGCAUAAGGGAGCUUGACUGCGAGACCUACAAGUCGAGCAGGGACGAAAGUCGGGCUUAGUGAUCCGGUGGUUCCGCAUGGAAGGGCCAUCGCUCAACGGAUAAAAGCUACCCCGGGGAUAACAGGCUUAUCUCCCCCAAGAGUCCACAUCGACGGGGAGGUUUGGCACCUCGAUGUCGGCUCAUCGCAUCCUGGGGCUGUAGUCGGUCCCAAGGGUUGGGCUGUUCGCCCAUUAAAGCGGUACGCGAGCUGGGUUCAGAACGUCGUGAGACAGUUCGGUCCCUAUCCGUCGUGGGCGUAGGAAAUUUGAGAGGAGCUGUCCUUAGUACGAGAGGACCGGGAUGGACGCACCGCUGGUGUACCAGUUGUUCUGCCAAGGGCAUAGCUGGGUAGCUAUGUGCGGAAGGGAUAAGUGCUGAAAGCAUCUAAGCAUGAAGCCCCCCUCAAGAUGAGAUUUCCCAUAGCGUAAGCUAGUAAGAUCCCUGAAAGAUGAUCAGGUUGAUAGGUUCGAGGUGGAAGCAUGGUGACAUGUGGAGCUGACGAAUACUAAUAGAUCGAGGACUUAACCAU
rnacentral:rRNA from 1 species